GACGAACGCUGGCGGCGUGCCUAACACAUGCAAGUCGAGCGGGGACUUAAUCAUGCAGUUUUCGGAUGGAUUGGUUAAGUUCUAGCGGCGGACGGGUGAGUAACGCGUGAGCAACCUGCCUAUCACUGGGGAAUAACGCAUCGAAAGGUGUGCUAAUACCGCAUGAGACCACAGUAUCGCAUGGUACAGGGGUCAAAGAUUUAUUGGUGAUAGAUGGGCUCGCGUCUGAUUAGCUGGUUGGUGAGGUAACGGCCCACCAAGGCGACGAUCAGUAGCCGACCUGAGAGGGUGAUCGGCCACAUUGGAACUGAGAAACGGUCCAAACUCCUACGGGAGGCAGCAGUGGGGAAUAUUGGGCAAUGGGGGAAACCCUGACCCAGCAACGCCGCGUGAAGGAAGAAGGUCUUCGGGUCGUAAACUUCUAUCCUUGGUGAAGAUAAUGACGGUAGCCAAGAAGGAAGCCCCGGCUAACUACGUGCCAGCCGCCGCCGUAAAAC
rnacentral:rRNA from 1 species